ensembl:miRNA
AGCCAUGGUGUAAUAUGGCUUUUUAUUCCUAUGUGAGGAUGAAAAAUAUUCAUGUAGGAAUAGAAGCUGUUUUACAUGUGGUGAGAGAGCAGC